GUCACAACGUCUGUCUCCUCUAUCUCUCAACAGAGAGUGAAUUAGGUAUGAACCUCAUUAGGUAUGAACCCUUCUAGUCCAUUUUUGAUAAUUUACUGUUAGUAUGUGUUUUCGAAUUUAUCUAAAUGCUUCCAUACUGUAUAUAUCAUUCAGCAGCUCCCUCAAACCCUUUUUUUUUUAGACAGAAUCUCGCUCUGUCUCCCAGGCUGGAGUGCAGUGGCAUGAUCUCAACUAACUGCAAUCUCUACCUCCCAAGUUCAAGCGAUUCUCUCACCUCAGCCUCCCAAGUAGCAGAGACUGCAGGCGCGCACCACCACACCCAGCUAAUUUUUUGUACUUUUAGUAGAGACAGGGUUUUGCUGUGUUGGCCAGACUGGUCUCAAACUCAUGACCUCAAGUGAUCCGCCUGCCUCGGCCUCCCAAAGUGCUGGGAUUACAGGUGUGAGCCACAGCACCUGGCCCCUGCUUUUUUUUUAACUACACUUUUUUGUUUUUGUCUUUUUUUUUUUUUUGAGAUCACGUCUCACUCUGUCACCCAGGCUGGAGUGCAGUGGCGCAAUCUCCACUCACUGCAACCACCACCUCCCAGGUUCAAGAAAUUCUCAUGCCUCAGCCUCCUGAGUAGCUGGUAUUACAGGUGUGCGCCACUGUGCCCAGCUAAUUUUUGUAUUUUUAGUAAAGAUGGGAUUUCACCAUGUUGGCCAGGCUGGUCUCGAAUUCCUGGCCUCAAGUGAUCCACCUUCCUCGGCCUCCCAAAGUGCUGGGAUUACAGGCAUGAGCCACUGCACCUGGCCAGAACUACACUUUUGAGAACUAUCCAUGUUGGUAUUUACAGAGCUAGGCCAUUUGUUUUAACUGUUGUAUAGUAUGUUUUAUUAUAUCUUAUUUUAUUUAUUUGUUCUCCUAUUAAUGAAUAUUUUUAUAAUUCCAAUUUUCCACUAUUAUAAACAAUGCUGCAAUAAAAAUCUCUAUACCUUUCUCCUGAUGUAUGAGUGUUUCUCCACCAUCUAUACACAGAAGAGAAAUUGCUGAUCAUGGGGUUUGUGCAUUUAAACUUUACUAGAUAUUACCAGAUUGACAUUCAUCCAUAGACCCUGGUAAGUAGUUCUACAGACUCCCACAAACAGUAGGUGUAAAUUCUCAUUUCCUUGUUCCGUGUUCAACAUUUUAUAUUGUCAGAGUUUGUGGUUUUUGAAAAUGUGAUGAUUAUAAAAUGGUAUGCAACUCAUGUUAUUAAACAUUAAUAUAAUUUUGGAGUAGAUAAUACAUGCACACAGUAUAAAAUUCAGAAGCUACAGGAGCAUAUACAAUGGAAAGCAAGUCCUCCCUCAGCCCCUGCCCUCUAGCCCCUGUCUUAGUUCGUUUGUGCAAAAUACCAUAGACCGGGUAAUUCACAAACAAUAGAAAUUUAUUUCUCAUGGUUCUGGAGGCUGGGAAGUCCCAGAUCAAGGCAUAAGCAGGUUUGGCAUCUGAUAAGGGUUUGAUCUCUGCUUCCAAGCUGGUGCCUUGUUGCUGCAUCCUCUGGAGAGGAGGAACAGUGUGUCCUCGUGUGAGACAGAGACAGAGGGCAAGAAAGGGUCAAGCUCUGUGUGAAGCCUCUUUUAUAAAGACCUUAAUCCCAUUCAUGAGGGAAGAACCCUCAUGACCUGAUUACCUCCUAAAAGUCCCCAUGCCUUUAAAGUCACCACGAUAAGGAUCAAGUUUCAACAUGAAAUUUGGAGGGAACACCAUCAUUCAAACCAUAACCACCACUUAGUUCUCUGUUCUGUUGUCUGUUUCUUGUGUGCUCUUCAGAUACAUUUUAUGCAGUUACAUGUGUGUAGUAAAACAUUAAACUUUUUCUAUCCCAUUUCUUUCGUCUCAGUAGAUUAUACAGCUUUAUAGAUUCAAUGUUAAUUGUUUUCAUUUCAUACAUGAACUCUAUUUUCUUAGAUCCAACAAGCACAGGUUUGGGUGACUACUUGGAAAAAGCUCACAAUCCCUAAAGUCAAGAACCAUCAAUUCCAAAGGUACCAUUGCAACUGCUCUAAGGGACUUAGGGGACCUCUACCUCAAGUUUCACUCUCCUAGAAUUUCCAGUGGAAGCUUGCAGACUAGGUCCUUUUAUCUGCUAUGGUACAGUCAGAAAAACAGAUACCCCUCUAGGUAUCUCAGAUAGAAGGAGGCUUAUACAGGGAAUUAGAGGCUUAAAUAACUCUAGGAAAGCUGCAAGAGUGAUAGUGAUCGGGACACCUCUUUCAGGAAAUCUGGUAGUGCAGGAAUCACAAGGAAGCCACUGCCAUUGCUCUCAGCUGCCUGUAGAGCCAGUUGGAGUAUUUUCAGGAGAACACCCAAAAGUUUUAGGCAAAAUUCCAUGUCAGCCAUCUGCUGCUGCCUCAAGAAAACAAUGGCUUCUCCUUUUCUUCCCAACCAAAUCUCAUGCAAGUGCCUCUCAUUGGUGGAGUCCGGGCUGAAUACUGUUGGCAAGAUCAGGGAAAUGUAGUUUCCAAGUUUGUCGUCCUGUAGAAAAAGACAAGAGUCCAGAAAGGCAGAUGUGGUACUGAGUACCCACAAAUGGCAACUGGCAGGGUUCCCAGUAACAAU
rnacentral:lncRNA from 1 species